rnacentral:rRNA from 1 species
AACGAACGCUGGCGGCGCGCCUAAUACAUGCAAGUCGAACGAGAAGGUGUAGCAAUACACUUGUACAGUGGCGAACGGGUGAGGAAUGCAUGGGCAACCUACCCUCGAGUGGGGAAUAACCAGCCGAAAGGUUGGCUAAUACCGCGUACGCUUCCGGGUCUCCGGAUCCGGAAGGAAAGUCACACCGUGGGUGUGACGCUCAAGGAUGGGCUCAUGUCCUAUCAGCUUGUUGGNGAGGUAACGGCUCACCAAGGCAACGACGGGUAGCUGGUCUGAGAGGACGAUCAGCCACACUGGCACUGCGACACGGGCCAGACUCCUACGGGAGGCAGCAGUAAGGAAUAUUGCGCAAGUGGGACGAAAGCCUGACGCAGCGACGCCGC